UGGGGAAUUUUGCGCAAUGGGCGAAAGCCUGACGCAGCGACGCCGCGUGGGUGAUGAAGGCCCUCGGGUUGUAAAGCCCUGUGGGGAGGGAAGAAUAAGGGUAUGUGAAUAGCAUAUCUGAUGACGGUACCUCCUUAGCAAGCACCGGCUAACUCUGUGCCAGCAGCCGCGGUAAGACAGAGGGUGCAAACGUUGUUCGGAAUUACUGGGCGUAAAGCGCGUGUAGGCGGCUAGGCAAGUCGGGUGUGAAAGCCCUUGGCUCAACUGAGGAAGAGCACUCGAAACUGCAUAGCUUGAGUUCUGGAGAGGAUGGUGGAAUUCUCGGUGUAGAGGUGAAAUUCGCAGAUAUCGAGAGGAACACCAGUGGCGAAGGCGGCCAUCUGGACAGAAACUGACGCUGAGACGCGAAAGCGUGGGUAGCAAACA
rnacentral:rRNA from 1 species